rnacentral:lncRNA from 1 species
AGGGGAUGUUUUCAGGCCUCUGAUGAUGAAGGAUGGAUCGCAGCAUGUCUGUUCCUUUUUCAUGCCCAGGAGAAUGUGGAAAGCUGAUAACAUCAGGAUUUGUCAGGUAGAAGCAUAAUCCUGUUUCAGGUAACUUUCCUCAGCAGAGAUGAAUCCCCAAGAGGCUGGCAAAGGAGAACUGCAGGUGUCUUGCCCCAGGAAAGCCUUCUGCUUUGGAAGUGUAACUACAGGAAAGCACAAGCCUUCUAGCUUCACAGAUGUCUGCCUGGCACACAGGAAGCUCCUACACUGGACUCCCCACACUGCUGCGGGUCCUUUUCCAUCCUGUGACACCCAGUCAGGCUCCAGUUUUCGUGACUCUCCUGAAGGGCAGCGAUGCUUUAGCUCUCUGCUCAUGGAAGCCCUAAGACCCUGGAGGGAAGCUUGUCAGACUGAAAAGCAGCGUCUGCCAUGCUUCAUGUACCUCUUGCCCAUGGCAGCAUCCGCUUCGUGAUGUCAUCAGGGCUCCAGGCCUUUUUGCUCUGUCUUCCCCAGUCAUCUGACUGCUUCUUUCCCAGGAGAACGUCCUUUGUUUAAGGGAUCCAUGGCUGGUAGCUGCUGGGACUAUCGGCUUCCUUAAACAGAGCCAGAGGAGCAGAAUGUUUGUUCUUACAUUUGAAAACAAAUCUCACUGGUAUCGUUGACUCGUAUCAACAGCAUAAAUUAAUAGAACUCCAUCCGAGUGGUACUCCCACACACGCGGGCAGUGUGCACAGAUGCUGUUCUCUCUUUUAUUCUUGCUUCUUCCCAUGCCCUCUCUGUGGCUCUCCCACUUCCCAGGCCCUAGUCACUGCGCUUGCCCUUCUACUUUCCAGUUGAAGGAACCGGCUUCCCUUUUGGCAGCCAUAAUGGUCGAACAUGUGCUUCUAUGACCUUGUCCUAGAAACCAGAAAGUCAGAUGCCUGUCUCGUGACAAGGAACCUUAGUCACUUAGAGGUCAGAUGCCUGUCUUGUGACAAGGAACCAAUCAGAAGUUAGCUGGUGGCGCUAUGCUUUACGACCCUGGGUGUGCUUUACGGACAAGUGCACAACAAUGAUGUAGAGAGCAUAGCAACCACCCUGGGAGGGCCUAUGGGCCAUAACAACCAGUUGACCAAUCAACACAGGGCAAGCCCUCCAAGCCUGGAAGCACACCAAUCAUGAGCCUGUGCGUAAGCCUAUGCGUACCCCUAGACACUCCCCUUACGCUGCCCUAUAAGAUCUUUUGGGAGCCCGUAGGAGCCGUCUUUUCUAGCCGUCCGCCAUGGCAGGUGGGUGAAAGACCCGAGCUAACAUAGGGUUAGCUCGUUAAAUUACAAUAAAGCCUCGUGCAGUUUGCA